rnacentral:rRNA from 1 species
UACGUAGGAGGCAAGCGUUGUCCGGAAUUACUGGGCGUAAAGCGCGUGUAGGUGGUGGGACAAGUCUGCUGUGAAAGCGCCUGGCUUAACCGGGCGAGGUCGGCGGAAACUGUUCGACUCGAGGACGGUAGAGGGGGGUGGAAUUCCCGGUGUAGUGGUGAAAUGCGUAGAGAUCAGGAGGAACACCUGUGGCGAAGGCGGCCCCCUGGGCCGGCCCUGACACUGAGACGCGAAGGCGUGGGGAGCGAACGGG